rnacentral:rRNA from 1 species
AUUGAACGUUGGCGGCAGGCCUAACACAUGCAAGUCGAGCGGUUGAAGGGAGCUUGCUCCUGGAUUCAGCGGCGGACGGGUGAGUAAUGCCUAGGAAGCUGCCUGGUAGUGUGGGAUAAAGUCUGGGAACGGGCGCUAAUACCGCAGACGGCCCGUGGGCGAAAGUGUGGGAUCUUCGGAUCGUACGCUCUCAGACGAGCCUAGGUCGGAGUAGCUAGUUGGUGGGGUAAAGGCCUACCAAGGCGACGAUCCGUAACUGGUCUGAGAGGAUGAUCAGUCACACUGGAACUGAGACACGGUCCAGACUCCUACGGGAGGCAGCAGUGGGGAAUAUUGGACAAUGGGCGAAAGCCUGCUCCAGCCAUGCCGCGUGUGUGAAGAAGGUCUUCGGAUUGUAAAGCACUUUAAGUUGGGAGGAAGGGCAGUAAGUUAAUACCUUGCUGUUUUGACGUUACCAACAGAAUAAGCACCGGCUAACUUCGUG